rnacentral:ribozyme from 1 species
UGCUUUUCAUUUUUAUUUUUUUUUUAUUUGUUCAUUGUUUUUAUUAAUACAUGGUGUA